rnacentral:rRNA from 1 species
CACGUAGGGUGCGAGCGUUGUCCGGAAUUAUUGGGCGUAAAGAGCUCGUAGGCGGUGUGUCGCGUCGGCCGUGAAAACCUGCAGCUUAACUGUGGGCUUGCGGUCGAUACGGGCAUCACUGGAGUUCGGGCAGGGGAGACUGGAAUUCCUGGUGUAGCGGUGAAAUGCGCAGAUAUCAGGAGGAACACCGGGUGGGCGAAGGC